GGGUGAGUAAUAUAUCGGAACGUACCCAAGAGUGGGGGAUAACGUAGCGAAAGUUACGCUAAUACCGCAUACGAUCUAAGGAUGAAAGCAGGGGACCGCAAGGCCUUGUGCUCCUGGAGCGGCCGAUAUCUGAUUAGCUAGUUGGUGGGGUAAAGGCCCACCAAGGCAUCGAUCAGUAGCUGGUCUGAGAGGACGACCAGCCACACUGGAACUGAGACACGGUCCAGACUCCUACGGGAGGCAGCAGUGGGGAAUUUUGGACAAUGGGCGCAAGCCUGAUCCAGCAAUGCCGCGUGAGUGAAGAGGGCCUUCGGGUUGUAAAGCUCUUUUGUCAGGGAAGAAACGGUGAAGGCUAAUAUCCUUUGCUAAUGACGGUACCUGAAGAAUAAGCACCGGCUAACUACGUGCCAGCAGCCGCGGUAAUACGUAGGGUGCAAGCGUUAAUCGGAAUUACUGGGCGUAAAGCGUGCGCAGGCGGUUUUGUAAGUUUGUCGUGAAAUCCCCGGGCUCAACCUGGGAAUGGCGAUGAAGACUGCAAGGCUAGAGUUUGGCAGAGGGGGGUAGAAUUCCACGUGUAGCA
rnacentral:rRNA from 1 species